GACGAACGCUGGCGGCGUGCUUAACACAUGCAAGUCGAACGAUGAAGCCUUUCGGGGUGGAUUAGUGGCGAACGGGUGAGUAACACGUGGGCAAUCUGCCCUGUACUUUGGGAUAAGCCUUGGAAACGGGGUCUAAUACCGGAUAUCACUUACCUCCGCAUGGGGGUUUGUUGAAAGUUCUGGCGGUACAGGAUGAGCCCGCGGCCUAUCAGC
rnacentral:rRNA from 1 species